rnacentral:rRNA from 1 species
AUGGAUCCUCGUCGGCGCUUAGGCCGAUCACCACCGCGCAAGAGGGAACGCCAGGCAUCGCCGGCGAACUACAGCAACCGCCAUCUCUGGCGCUCACCCCCACGGGAGCGCGACUUCGCGCCCUCCUGGACAGGCGCGCCUUCUCCUCCUGCGGCCUUCUUGGAGCGGUCGCCCUCACCUCCCCUUCCUCUCCGGCGCUACAUCGAUGACAGCCGCGAGGAGCCCUACGGCCCUCGGCCAAGAUUCGAGCCAUGGCACGUGUCCUCGCCUUCAGGACAACGGAGGGAGGCUGACAGCUUCGGCAAUGGAUUCUUGGGCCAUGAGUGGCCGGAGUACAGCCGCGAGGGCAACUACGGUACGCCUAAGGGAUUCUUGGAGCUUGCUGAUUCUUUCCCGGGGCAGAGUCGUUUCGAUUGCGGCCGUGGUGAUGACUUCAGGCGACCGAACCGCUCCCUGCCGCGGUCGCCAAUGGACUGGGAUUUGCCUCGCGGGCAUUCGCCUUUCUUUGCCGACGAGGGACGCGGUCACGUGCAGUCGCGCGAUGACACGUUCGAUCGCUCCGGCCGCGGCGACGGCUUCGAGGCGGCUCCACGUCCAAGAUCCUUUGAGCGACCACAUCGCACGCCCAUGGAGCCCGGUGCCGAGUUCCCCGAGCGCUCCCAUGCCAUAAUCUUGGAGGGCAAGAGGCGAUGGACACCGUCUCCUCAGGAUCGCCGGCGGGGAGCUCUGUCCCCGGGGUCUGACGGCCAUGACCCCUGGACGCAGCGCUCCAUGGAGAGACUGGGGCAGCAGAGCUCGCCACGUGGAGACCGUGGGGGCUCGUUCCUGGAGACAGGAGACCGUGGGGAGCCCUACCCUUUGGGCCCGCCGCCUCCACACAAUCUCGGGGGCGGCAGAGGGGGCUUCCCACCACGGCGGUUCUUUCGCGGGAGGGGCGGGCUCCAGCAAACUGGGCCGCCAGGCGGCAGCGGACGCCAGCGAUCGCCUCGCCAGAGCUCGGUACUCCCUGCGCUGCGCACUGAGCCUGAAGCGUCGGGACGCAAGGCAUUUCCCCGGAAGAGGUCGGAGAAGCAAGUGGCAGGUGCUAUCAAGUCGACAGGAGUCGAGGAGCCGGAGCGUCCUUGGGAAUCUAAGCAUGAUGAUUCAAAUGGGGCGGUCAGACUCAGACCAGAAGCUGCAGAUAAUGAAGGGGCGAUCAAGCCAGAAGCUACGGUGGAUGAAGGAGAUGGGAGUGUCACCUCUGGUCUGAUUGCAGGGAUGUGCACAGAUGUACAGAAAGGCUACCUCCGUCUCACCGGGCCUCCGGAUGCAACAAAGAUAAGACCAAAGCUUGUACUCCCUCCGUCCGGAAAUACUUGUCAUCAAAAUGGAUAA